rnacentral:rRNA from 1 species
GGGGACUGCGGAGGACAUUACACAAAUAUGAAGGCGGGCUGGAACCUCUCGGGGUUACAGCCUUGCUGAAUUAUUCACCCUUGUCUUUUGCGUACUUCUUGUUUCCUUGGUGGGUUCGCCCACCACUAGGACAAACAUAAACCUUUUGUAAUUGCAAUCAGCGUCAGUAACAAAUUAAUAAUUACAACUUUCAACAACGGAUCUCUUGGUUCUGGCAUCGAUGAAGAACGCAGCGAAAUGCGAUAAGUAGUGUGAAUUGCAGAAUUCAGUGAAUCAUCGAAUCUUUGAACGCACAUUGCGCCCUUUGGUAUUCCAAAGGGCAUGCCUGUUCGAGCGUCAUUUGUACCCUCAAGCUUUGCUUGGUGUUGGGCGUCUUGUCUCUAGCUUUGCUGGAGACUCGCCUUAAAGUAAUUGGCAGCCGGCCUACUGGUUUCGGAGCGCAGCACAAGUCGCACUCUCUAUCAGCAAAGGUCUAGCAUCCAUUAAGCCUUUUUUUCAACUUUUGACCUCGGAUCAGGUAGGGAUACCCGCUGAACUUAAGCAUAUCAUAA